CAAACUGGAGAUGGCGACCGGCGCACGGGUGAGUAACACGUAUCCAACCUGCCGAUAACUCGGGGAUAGCCUUUCGAAAGAAAGAUUAAUACCCGAUGGCAUAAUAGAACCGCAUGGUUUGAUUAUUAAAGAAUUUCGGUUAUCGAUGGGGAUGCGUUCCAUUAGGCAGCUGGUGGGGUAAUGGCCCACCAAACCUUCGAUGGAUAGGGGUUCUGAGAGGAAGGUCCCCCACAUUGGAACUGAGACACGGUCCAAACUCCUACGGGAGGCAGCAUG
rnacentral:rRNA from 1 species